rnacentral:rRNA from 1 species
UAAACUAGGAUUAGAUACCCUAUUAUUUUAAAUGUAAAUAAAAUUUACUAAAUUAGUAUUAGGUAUGUUCUUGAAAAUUAAAAAAUUUGGCGGUAUUUUAGUCUUUUCAGAGGAAUCUGCCCUGUAAUUGAUAGUCCACGAUUUAAAUUACUUUAUUUUUAUUGUUUACAUAUCGUCGUAGAUUAAAUAUUUUAAUAGAAUAUUAAUAUUUGAGAUUUUUAAUUAAAAAAUAAAUCAGAUCAAGGUGUAGUUUAUGGUAAAGGAGAGGUGGAUUACAUUUAAUUUAUUAAAGAAUAAUUUUUUUAAAAAAAAUUUGAAUUUGGAUUUGAAAGUAAUUUUAAAAAUUUUUUAAAAUGAUUUUAGCUCUAAAAUAUGCACACAUCGCCCGUCGCUCUUAA